rnacentral:antisense_RNA from 1 species
CUUGAUCGAACCCAACCACAACGGCCGCUCACGAUCCUGACCAUAGGUCGCCAGCACCGCCUGCGCCUC